rnacentral:rRNA from 1 species
GAUGAACGCUGGCGGCGUGCCUAAUACAUGCAAGUCGAGCGAACAGACGAGGAGCUUGCUCCUCUGACGUUAGCGGCGGACGGGUGAGUAACACGUGGAUAACCUACCUAUAAGACUGGGAUAACUUCGGGAAACCGGAGCUAAUACCGGAUAAUAUAUUGAACCGCAUGGUUCAAUAGUGAAAGACGGUUUUGCUGUCACUUAUAGAUGGAUCCGCGCCGCAUUAGCUAGUUGGUAAGGUAACGGCUUACCAAGGCAACGAUGCGUAGCCGACCUGAGAGGGUGAUCGGCCACACUGGAACUGAGACACGGUCCAGCCUCCUACGGGAGGCAGCAGUAGGGAAUCUUCCGCAAUGGGCGAAAGCCUGACGGAGCAACGCCACGUGAGUGAUGAAGGUCUUCGGAUCGUAAAACUCUGUUAUUAGGGAAGAACAAAUGUGUAAGUAACUAUGCACGUCUUGACGGUACCUAAUCAGAAAGCCACGGCUAACUACGU